GUUAGGAAUAUUGGACAAUGGGCGCAAGCCUGAUCCAGCCAUGCCGCGUGAGUGAUGAAGGCCUUCGGGUUGUAAAGCUCUUUAGUCCACGAAUAUAAUGACUGUAGUGGAAGAAUAAGCCCCGGCUAACUUCGUGCCAGCAGCCGCGGUAAUACGAAGGGGGCGAGCGUUAUUUGGAAUCACUGGGCGUAAAGUGUGCGUAGGCUGUUUUGUAAGUCAGAAGUGAAAGCCCAGGGCUUAACCCUGGAAUUGCUUUUGAAACUACAAGACUCGAAUUCGGGAGAGGAUAGCGGAAUUGUCAGUGUAGCAGUGAAAUGCGUAGAUAUUGACAGGAACACCAGUGGCGCAAGCGGCUAUCUGGACCGAUAUUGACGCUGAGGCACGAAAGCGUGGGGAGCAAACAGGAUUAGAAACCCGAGUAGUCC
rnacentral:rRNA from 1 species